CAGAAAUUUGGUCUCUGGUAGUGGGUCCACUUCCACCCCAUUUCAGACUCUACAGACCAAGCUUGCCUGCAGCCUGUACCUCCAAAAUGUGGAGGUGGGGAGGUCUAAGAAAGAGGGGGAUCACUUGCAAAUAUAAGGAAAUCAGACGCACCCGGUGCUACAGAAAUGGGCCAGGAGAAAACUCAGCAUUUUGACUGGGAUUUUGUUCCAACCAAGCAACUCUCUUCUACUUUCGUUGUGUACGGUUGGCACCAGAUGAAAACCAAAGGAAGAGGGACAAGAAAUUAAGACGUGUUUAUCUUAAGACGAGAGAGACAAAGUCAGAUCUCUUGAAGACAACCAUAUCUGCUUAAUGCCAUAUGCAAUAGAAAACUCUUCAAAGAACUACAGGGGGCCGGGCGCAGUGACUUAUGCCUGCAAUCCCAGCACUUUGGGAGGCUGA
rnacentral:lncRNA from 1 species